rnacentral:lncRNA from 1 species
GUUCUUGCAUUGCUGCCAUUUAACAGGGAUGGAAGUUCAAAUCUUCCAUCUCUGUUAAAUGGGGGUGGUGCAAGAACUAACUGAUACCAGUGCAAGAAAAAUUAUGCACUAUGUGAUAAAUCAAGAAAAACAGCUUAUUUUCUUGUUGAGCAUUGAAGGCUCCUUACUAUAUCAAUGUUUAGUUGGGUUCUCAUGGUGUGAACAGGACCUGAUAAUUUCUUUUUCAUUGCAAAAGCAUUGUUUUGUUGUAAGUUGCAUAUGUUUUGUAUCCAGUUUGUUUUUUGACUAGAAUAGUAUCAUGACAUGGAUUGAAAUGAUGAUAAAAUAAUUGCUGUGUAAUUACAACUGAGUCACCAUUUUUGAAAAAUGUUUUCAUCGCAAACUCACUGUACAGUGAUCCACUGAUCCAUUAUUAUUUACCUGGCAUCUAGCAUGCAAAAGAUCAGCUUUUCACCUAAAUGUCAAUUAAUUACACUUAAAAAACUCCCAGGUUUCUAUGGCAUACCCUGCAUAUGUUAUUUUAUUCAAUUAUCUUAAUAUUCCUUUAUUUUUUUUAGAUCUGAAAAAAUAUUUGGCAGACUGGUAUUGGUCUGCUGACUAGCAGUUAGGGAAUGUUCAUUGCUUUAGUGGCAAAAAAUUUUUUGCCACUAAAGCAAUAUAGCAACUUUUAAAACAGCUUGUGCUUAGCUCAAUUAAAUUUUUAUAUAUUGAUUUAGUUUCCUCUUGACCAGUGCAUAAACAUAAGAAAAUUCAUUUCUUUCCUCAAC